CCUACGGGUGGCAGCAGUGGGGAAUAUUGCACAAUGGGGGAAACCCUGAUGCAGCGACGCCGCGUGCGUGAAGACGGAAUUCGGUAUGUAAAGCUCUAUCAGCAGGGAAGAAAAUGACGGUACCUGACUAAGAAGCCACGGCUAACUACGUGCCAGCAGCCGCGGUAAUACGUAGGGGGCAAGCGUUAUCCGGAUUUACUGGGUGUAAAGGGAGCGUAAACGGCGUGCCAAGUCUGGUGUGAAAGGCCGGGGCUCAACCCCGGGACUGCAUUGGAAACUGGCAUGCUGGAGUGCCGGAGGGGCAAGCGGAAUUCCUAGUGUAGCGGUGAAAUGCGUAGAUAUGAGGAGGAACACCGGUGGCGAAGGCAGCUUGCUGGACGGGAACUGACGUUGAGGCUCGAAAGCGUGGGGAGCGAACAGGAUUAGAUACCCCAGUAGUC
rnacentral:rRNA from 1 species